rnacentral:rRNA from 1 species
GACAAGCGCUGGCGGCGUGCUUAAUACAUGCAAGUCGAACGGGUGCACUUCGGUGUACUAGUGGCGGACGGGUGAGUAACACGUAGAUGACCUGCCCUAAUGUGGGGAAUAACAGCCCGAAAGGGUUGCUAAUACCGCAUACGCUCUAUGUUGUGGGACAUAGAGGAAACCUCGGUUUAUACCUGGGGCAAUAGGAGGGGUCUGCGGCGGAUUAGCUAGAUGGUGGGGUAACGGCCACCAUGGCGACGAUCCGUAGCUGGUCUGAGAGGACGGCCAGCCACACUGGGACUGAGACACGGCCCAGACUCCUACGGGAGGCAGCAGUAAGGAAUAUUCCACAAUGGGCGAAAGCCUGAUGGAGCGACGCCGCGUGCGGGAAGAAGCCGUUUCGGGGGUGUAAACCGCUUUUAACGAGAGAUGACACACAGUGGGU